AUUGAACGCUGGCGGCAUGCCUUACACAUGCAAGUCGAACGGCAGCACGGGAGCAAUCCUGGUGGCGAGUGGCGAACGGGUGAGUAAUAUAUCGGAACGUGCCCAGUCGUGGGGGAUAACGUAGCGAAAGCUACGCUAAUACCGCAUACGAUCUAUGGAUGAAAGCGGGGGAUCGCAAGACCUAGCGCGAUUGGAGAGGCCGAUAUCAGAUUAGGUAGUUGGUGAGGUAAAGGCUCACCAAGCCGACGAUCUGUAGCUGGUCUGAGAGGACGACCAGCCACACUGGGACUGAGACACGGCCCAGACUCCUACGGGAGGCAGCAGUGGGGAAUUUCGGACAAUGGGCGCAAGCCUGAUCCAGCAAUGCCGCGUGCAGGAUGAAGGCCUUCGGGUUGUAAACUGCUUUUGUACGGAACGAAACGGUGAGCUCUAAUACAGUUUGCUAAUGACGGUACCGUAAGAAUAAGCACCGGCUAACUACGUGCCAGCAGCCGCCGUAA
rnacentral:rRNA from 1 species